AUUGAACGCUGGCGGCAGGCUUAACACAUGCAAGUCGAACGAGUGGCGGACGGGUGAGUAAUGCUUGGGCAUCUUGCUCAUGGAGGGGGAUAACUACGGGAAACUGUAGCUAAUACCGCGUACCCUAGGUUGAGCCCAAGUGGGAUUAGGUAGUUGGUGGGGUAAAGGCUCACCAAGCCGACGAUCUCUAGCUGGUCUGAGAGGAUGACCAGCCACAAUGGGACUGAGACACGGCCCAGACUCCUACGGGAGGCAGCAGUGGGGAAUCUUGCGCAAUGGGCGAAAGUUGAUCCAGCAAUACCGCGUGUGUGAAGAAGGCCCUAGGGUUGUAAAGCACUUUUGUUCGGGAGAUGGUACCUAAAGAAUAAGCAACGGCUAACUACGUGCCAGCAGCCGCGGUAAUAC
rnacentral:rRNA from 1 species